rnacentral:lncRNA from 1 species
CCAGCCUUUGUUUUCCUUGACUAGGUGAAUGUUUAUCAUUAUAUCAGUCUUUCUGUCCUACGAUAUCUUUUUCCUUAAAAUUUGUUUUUGACAUUAAUAAAUAAACACCAUUUCUUAGAAUUAGUUUUUGCAUAAUAUGUCCUUUCUAUGUUUUACACUUAAUCUCUGAAAUGACUUUUAUGCUUUAGGUAUGUGUCUUGUAAACAGUAUAACCUGAAUUUAUGUUUUUGCAUUCAAUUUGUCAGUCUCUGUCUUCUGGUCACAAGUUUAGUCUAUUUGCAGUUACUAAAAUUAAUGAGAUGUGUGGACUUUAUAUUAUAAUAUUUUUCACUUUAAUCUUUCCCAUGAUUUUACUGACUUUUUUAUCCUGUUGUCACAUGUCUAGAACCCAUUCUAACGUGUAUCAGGCCUGGGUAUGCUGCCUGGAAGGUGGAUGUAUUUUGCCUCCUACUUUGGGAUGUGUUUUCAGUCUCUGUUAAGGUUUUGGUUGCUCAUUUCUGGCAUCCCCUUCACACAGGAAAUACCCAGAUUCAGCCAUUUGCAGAUUUUGAAACAUUGUUCUGGUUCGCUGCAUAUGGCCUGUCUCUGGACUCAACUCAACAUCCCAUGUCCUCGCUCAGACUAUAUAACUCUAGACCCAGCCUGUUAAUAUGGACUGCUUGUAUUUUUUCAGAGAAACCUCUAAAAGAAAUUAUCAAUUUCUUCAAAACAUUAACUUGAUAGGUUCUUUUUAAAUCAAGUAAUCUGUUAAAAAUUAUAUGGGUGCUCUAAACUAUAUCCCCUGGAUAAUCUAACCUGUAAAUAGUUUGAACAGUUAUCUUUUACAGCCAGAAUAACAAUACUAGUUAAUACCAGAGGACUAAUCUAUGGGUAGCUCGUUUCAAAAUUUACUCUGAGAGCUUAAAAGAAAAUAUAUUUUGUAGGGAAACAAAGCAUAUUUUUCCAAGAUCCAGUCAGUAGUGAAGGCAUCUUAAUAGUAUCCAGGAUCCUCACAUGUGAAGAAAAGUGAACUAGGUAACAAAUGAGAAGACUUACAUACGCUUAGUUCUUGCAGGAGGAAAGGAACUAUCUGGGUAUGGAAAAGGUUACUAGGCAAGAUUGUGAUUGAAGAGAAAGGAUAAUGAUAAAGGGGCUUUGCAGAAGCUCUGGUUAGAAGAAAUAACUAAUAGUAAUGAAUAUGUAUCUCUCCAACCAAUGAGAAGCAUAUGAUGAGGCAGAGUCACUUGUCUCUGGCAGUCCAAGCUACUAAGAAGCACAAAUAAAAUAUAUAGUAGCAGGGGGAGAUGGGAAGGGUGAGAGAAUGUAGGAUAAAUUACCAUU